AUGCUACAAAUCAAAUCAGAAGAGGAUGAGGAAGUGGAAAUUGAAAUCAAGGAAGACGAGGAACUUCACAAUCCUGAUCCGUAUGAUUUUGUCUACAGCAACAUACCAAAGAACACACACGUGUUCAAAACGGAAGAAAAUUGCAGGUUCUGCAAAGCAACAAAAUUCAAGUAUGAAUCUAAAAGGUUAUGCUGCAAAAAAGGGCAGAUAAGACUAGCCAAUCCAGAUACACCACCUGAACUCAUGAGACUUUGGACAAGCAACGAUUCUGAAGGAAGGCAUUUUCGGAACAAUAUAAGAUUUUUCAAUGGACACUUCUCAUUUACUACUCUAUACUGUCACGUUGACAGAGAUACAACUGACAUUCGAACAACUGGUAUUUACACCUUUCGAGCUCAUGGUCAGAUCUAUCACAACAUACACUCAUUUGGUAAUAGUCGCUCAGAUCCAAAGCAUCUAGAGCUAUACUUCUACGAUGAUGAUCCAAGCUUAGAGCAUCGGUACCGCCACUACCGCGAGGCAAUGUACGAGCAAGACAGGCAGGUGAUUGGAAUAAUAACAGACAUUCUACGCGAUAACCCAUACUCUCAACAGUUUAGGAGUUUGGGACAAGCCCAAAACCUUGAGGACUACAGACUCAUAUUGAACCUUGACCAAAGAUUGGACCAGCGAACAUACAACGCACCAAUCAAUUCAGAGGUAGCUGCAGUGUGGAUUGAAGGAAAUGAAAGAAGAAAUACUUAUGACAGGAAUGUAAUACUACAUGGGAACAACAACGAAAUAGAGCACAUUCGAUCAUAUUACGGGUGCUAUGAUCCGUUGUCGUAUCCUCUAUUCUUUCCAAGAGCUGAACUGGGUUGGCAUCGGAAAAUCCCAAAGAAGGAUACACAAGAGGAAGAUGUUGGUGCUGAAAAUAUCAAUAAUGAUGAGGAUCCAGGUAAUAUUCAGAACUCAAUUUUCAUAUAUGCUUCACUACUAAUAUUCAACUAA
rnacentral:rRNA from 1 species